CACAGAGAAAGUGGGAGCCCCUUGAGAGACCUGGAACAGGGUCAAGACUGAGAGAUGGAGGUUAAGAGUCCUUGUCAGAGCCUUCUCAGCACACCAUCUCCAUCAUGGCAAUUGUUUCUGUCCACAUUCUUGGAGCAGUGGUUAUGGGAGCUUUGGUCAUUUUUAUGAUUAAAGAAGGGGAAUAAAGUUCAAUGUUGGGACAGUCCUGAUCAGGCUGCAGGUGGAGACAGCUGCCUUGUGUGGAACUGAGCAAUAGAGACUUUUCUCUGGAUUCCCCAUUUUCUACUGUGAGUUCGGGAACUCCAGACUUCUCAUUCUGCAGCCCACAUUGGUUGUGUCCAAGUGCCUGUCUCUUAAAUACCUAGUGUAAAAACGUGAGACUCACAGCCCAACCAUGUGUCUAUUCCCCAGUGUGCUCUCCAGCAGAGGCAGAACUGGGACCUUUCCAUCCAUGACUGUACUCUACUGUAGUGGAAGUAACACUCACACUUUCUGCUUGACAUGAAGGGUAUUAUGUAUAUGGCUUUGCAUUUAUUGCCAUGCUACUAUGGAAAAUCGUUAAAAAUUAAUAGAUAAAACACAGGCUGAGAA